ACGACGCUGGCGGCGUGCUUCAUACAUGCAAGUCGAACGAGAAAUUGGCUUCGGCCGAUGGAAAGUGGCGGACGGGUGAGUAAAAUGUAGAGAAUCUGCCCUUGAGAGCGGGAUAGCAGUUGGAAACGACUAUUAAUACCGCAUAUGCGCGUAGUUGAGAUACUAUUCGUGAAAACUGAGGUGCUCAAGGAUGAGUCUGCAUCUGAUUAGCUAGUUGGUGGGGUAAUGGCCUACCAAGGCGACGAUCAGUAGCUGGUUUGAGAGGAUGAUCAGCCACAAUGGAACUGAGACACGGUCCAUACUCCUACGGGAGGCAGCAGUAGGGAAUUUUGCGCAAUGGGCGAAAGCCUGAACCGCAGCAACGCCGCGUGAAUGAAGAAGGUCUUCGGAUUGUAAAGUUCUGUCAAUGGGGACGAAAACUGACGGUACCCAUAGAGGAAGCACCGGCUAACUCCGUGCCAGCCGCUGC
rnacentral:rRNA from 1 species